ACCAGAACUUUAGGAGCAGAUCUGAGGCUUUAGCGAGAUAUACCUUUCCCCAAAUGGUCAUGAAUGUCGACACCAAUUGAGUCCGUUUGGAGUAGAGGUCUCCAGUUUGAACUCUAGAGUCAGACAAUCCCAGCUGGGCUCUCACUAGCCAUGUAACUCUGGGAUACCUCUUACCCCCUCAAUGCAUCUUUUCUUCUGUUAUAAAAUAAAGAUGAUAAUAGUA